rnacentral:rRNA from 1 species
CCUACGGGUGGCAGCAGUCGAGAAUCAUUCACAAUGGGGGAAACCCUGAUGGUGCGACGCCGCGUGGGGGAAUGAAGGUCUUCGGAUUGUAAACCCCUUUUAUGUGGGAGCAAAUUAAAAAGCUAGUACCACUAUAGGAAUAGACGGCUAACUCUGUGCCAGCAGCCGCGGUAAUACAGAGGGCGCAAGCGUUGUUCGGAAUCACUGGGCGUAAAGCGUGCGUAGGCUGGAUCGUAAGUCGUGUGUGAAAGGCGCGGGCUCAACCCGCGGAUGGCACAUGAUACUGGGGGACUAGAGUAAUGGAGGGGGAGCCGGAAUUCUUGGUGUAGCGGUGAAAUGCGUAGAUAUCGAGAGGAACACUCGUGGCGAAGGCGGGUUCCUGGACCUUAACUGACGCUGAGGCACGAAGGCGAGGGGAGCGAAAGGGAUUAGAUACCCUAGUAGUC